CAAAACAAUGAGUGGCCAGAUUGCCAGCGGCGCUGGUAUGCCCGCGUUAAGCUCGGCUGAAGCUCGCCGGAUGGGGGUGGUUCUUGCCGGCAACCUGGACCAUGGACACACACUAACACAAAAAAUCAUACCAGCUAUGUAUGUAUUUUUUUUUUAUUUGUUAGGGGCUCGAAAUCUUGGCUGCAUCUCCCUACCGGUCAUACUUAUACACAAAUGUAUUGCCCUCCCACUCGAGGUUUGACCCUCGCCAUGACGUCCUCUUCUUGACGUCCCAAACCAUACCUGCAACUAAAUUUCCCCUACUUACCGCCGCUUAAAAUUUAAUUUAUUCCAUCAUGUUAAAUGACAACACUCAUAAUUUCAUUUAUACAUUAUAAAUAUCAUUAUUUCUUUUAUUAACAAAAUUUUCCUUAUCUUAUUUUAAUAUUUAAUUUAAUUUUAAUUCUUUUUAACAGUUUUUACAGGUAAUUCGGUAUGUAUUUUAAGCAUUUAUGUAAAAAUAUAUUUAUUAUAUAUAUCUUUUUCUUUAUUUUCUUUUUAGGUUAUAUUUAUUUUUAUAUUAUUUUCUAGGAGAGUUUAACUUUUCUUUUAGGUACCUAUGGUGCCCAACAUAUGGCUUACUAAAUAACUAAAUGACCCUACAAAAUGAGCUCAUUUUUUAUGGCCCUAAGUAUUUCCCCUCACUUCUCCGAGGAAUUAAUUUAUUAUUUAGGUAAUAAAAAAAAGAUACCUGAGACUGUUUAUGCAGAUGCUGAUGAUGAUUGCUGAGGUGCUUCUGAUGGAUGAUGAUGCAGGAGAUGCUGACAACGCUGAUGAUGAUGGAUGGAAAAAAGGAAACGGAUGAAUGAUGGAGGCUGAUGUACUAUUGGAGAAGCUGAUGACUAGGAUGAUGGAACGUUGCCGGUUGACAAGGAUGAUUAUGGAUUAAUGCUGAUGGUGUAUGUAAAUGAUUUGAGGAUGCGAGGAUGCGGAUGGAAUCUUUUUCGUGGCGGGUGUGGUUGGCGAUAAUUUGGCGUUUUUAUUUAAUUUUAUAAUUUUAAUUUUAUAUUUAAUGUUUCCUUUUUUUGUUCUUUUCUUUUGUUUUUCCUUUUUAUUUAAUAUUUAUUUUUAGCUUUACUUUUAUAUUUUAGCUUUAGUUUUAGUUUUUUAGCUUUAGUUUUAGUUUUUAGCUUUAGUUUUAGUUUUUAGCUUUAGUUUUAGUUUUUAGCUUUAGUUUUAGUUUUUAGCUUUAGUUUUAGUUUUUAGCUUUAGUUUUAUAUUUUGUUUUAACCUUUUUUUUUUGUUCUUUUCUAUAUUUUUUAUUUAAGGUUUUUAGUUAAAUAAAAUUUUCACCAAAAACUUAUA